UCCUGCCUCAGCCUCCCGAGUAGCUGGGAUUACAGGCGCCCGCCACCACGCCCGGCUAAUUUUUUGUAUUUUUAGUAGAGACAGGGUUUCACCGUGUUGGCCAGGAUGGUCUCUAUCUCCUGACCUCGUGAUCCACCUGCCUCGGUCUCCCAAAGUGCUGGGAUUACAGGCGUGAGCCACAGUGCCCGGCCUGAAAACAUUUAUUACAACAAAACGUCAGAGCUAUGUGACAGUAAGUUACCA
rnacentral:lncRNA from 1 species